GACGAACGCUGGCGGCGUGCCUAAUACAUGCAAGUAGAACGCACAGUUUAUACCGUAGCUUGCUACACCAUAGACUGUGAGUUGCGAACGGGUGAGUAACGCGUAGGUAACCUGCCUGGUAGCGGGGGAUAACUAUUGGAAACGAUAGCUAAUACCGCAUAAUAUUAAUUAUUGCAUGAUAAUUAAUUGAAAGGUGCAAUUGCACCACUACCAGAUGGACCUGCGUUGUAUUAGCUAGUAGGUGAGGUAACGGCUCACCUAGGCGACGAUACAUAGCCGACCUGAGAGGGUGAUCGGCCACACUGGGACUGAGACACGGCCCAGACUCCUACGGGAGGCAGCAGUAGGGAAUCUUCGGCAAGGGACGAAAGUCUGACCGAGCAACGCCGCGUGAGUGAAGAAGGUUUUCGGAUCGUAAAGCUCUGUUGUAAGAGAAGAACGGGUGUGAGAGUGGAAAGUUCACACUGUGACGGUAGCUUACCAGAAAGGGACGGCUAACUACGUG
rnacentral:rRNA from 1 species